rnacentral:rRNA from 1 species
CCUUUCGGGGGUACACGAGCGGCGGACGGCUGAGUAACACGUAGGAACCUGCCCCAAAGUGAGGGAUAAGCACCAGAAAUGGUGUCUAAUACCGCAUGUGCUCUUAGGAGUAAAGCUUCGGCGCUUUGGGAGGGGCCUGCGCAUGAUUAGCUUGUUGGUGAGGUAAUAGCUCACCAAGGCGACGAUCAUUAGCUGGUCUGAGAGGAUGAUCAGCCAGACUGGGACUGAGAACGGCCCAGACUCCUACGGGAGGCAGCAGUAGGGAAUUUUCCACAAUGGGCGAAAGCCUGAUGGAGCAACGCCGCGUGCAGGAUGAAUGCCUUCGGGUUGUAAACUGCUUUUAUAUGUGACGAUUAUGACGGUAGCAUAUGAAUAAGGAUCGGCUAACUCCGUGCCAGCAGCCGCGGUCAUACGGAGGAUCCAAGCGUUAUCCGGAAUUACUGGGCGUAAAGAGUUGCGUAGGUGGCAUAGUAAGCAAAUAGUGAAAGCGUGUGGCUCAACCAUACACACAUUGUUUGAACUGCUAAGCUAGAGGAUGAGAGAGGUUAUUGGAAUUCCCAGUGUAGGAGUGAAAUCCGUAGAUAUUGGGAGGAACACCGAUGGCGUAGGCAGAUAACUGGCUCAUUCCUGACACUAAGGCACGAAAGCGUGGGUAGCAAACGGGAUUAGAUACCCCGGUAGUCCACGCUGUAAACGAUGGAUGCUAGCUGUUCUCGGUAUCGACCCCGAGUGUAGCGAAGCUAACGCGUUAAGCAUCCCGCCUGUGGAGUACGGUCGCAAGACUAAAACAUAAAGGAAUUGACGGGGACCCGCACAAGCG